rnacentral:rRNA from 2 species
GGAUGUUAUCAUACCAGCACUAUAGCACUGGAACCAUCAGAACUCCGAAGUUAAGCGUUCUUGGAUGAGAGUAGUAGAUGGGUGACCUUAUGAUGGGUAACCUCCU